UUCAUAUUACUUCUGUUGGUGACCCAUUUCGUGUUCUGCAAUUCUAUUCACAUUUUAGGAUCCAAUUGGUUCAGAAACACAGAAUUGGGUGUAAUGCCGAGGAGGGUUUGCUCUGGAACGAUCGUGGAGUGCCUCUCUGCGACAGAGAUGGAGAUGGAGAUGGACUCGGAGUCUAAUCGACGAGUUCUGGCAAUGCAGAAGAGGUAUAUCAGUUACGAGACCCUGAAGAAGGACAUGAUACCGUGUACAAGACCUGAGGCUUCCUACUACGACUGCCAUGCCUUGAGACAGGCGAAUCCCUACUCCAGAGGAUGUGAAGUCAUUACGCGCUGUAGAGAUACUCAGGAGACGCCAUGAGCCUUAAAAUGGAAAAUCUGUUAAAUAAGAAGAACAUCUCAUUAUGCAGAAGAAGCUUCAGGAGGAAGGCAGAAUUAAGGACUUGUUUUCAACCAUUUCUAGCAGGGUAGUGAUGGAUACAGAUGCAGCAGAUAUUCCAGGGGCACUCAUCAGGAACAUGAAUCACCAUUUAACAAGUUUGGCAUCUUUUGCAGGUGGUUUUUAUUG